CACCUGCACACCCCCUUCUCAAGUUGUGUAUCUAUGCCACAUAUUCAUUUUUUGAGACUGAAAUUGCUUUAACAUCUUUGACUUAUUAUAGGGUAUUUUGGUGAUUCCUUUAGUAAUCUCAAAAACAAGGUAAGUAAAUAAUUUUGUGUACAAUAUGUAAUUAUCCUGAGGAACCCGUUUCCAUAAAGUAGGACUGAAAAGGUUCUGCAUUUACAAAAAAUGAAUGCAUUUUCAUAUGGAUAUGUGGCGGACAGAUGAAUGAAUUUUUUGCCUUAAACAUUUCUUGGUGCAUGGGGUGCAGGCAGGCCAUAACCCCGAACAAGCCAUCUGUCCCUGGCGGAAACAGGACUGGGCUGCUGCGACCCCCAAGAUGGUCUCCCUGCGACCACCCGGAACACACCGAGCCUGCACUGAACGAGACCACAGUCGGGCAGAGACUUUGGGAUCCGUUUUUAGCACAACUUCUAUAAAACUUGCUUGGCAUGAGUGGCUAAAUUUGCUGAAGCCUUAGGCCGCACUCCCUAGUUUGGUGAGAAAGGGCCCCAGAGUUGGUGCAGGCGGGAACGAUAAGGGAGUUACCAGCAAUUUGCAUUCCUGUGCACUGCUGAAACAGUGCUAAUUGCUGGAGUUACCACCUCUUUGUCAAGACCUUGAGAGAUGAUGGUGGGACCCGAGGAAGGAAGACACACCUAUAGGAUGGAAGACACACCUGUCGGCAGAAACUGCAACAGAAAAGAUAAGGGAGAAAAGAAACAGCCUGCCUAGGAACAACGAUGAGAUCCAAUAAGGAGCAGGAGACCCCAGACUCAAAAAUUACUAUUGGUCUGAACUACCACGUGGGGGUGGGAAACUUAAUUUGAAAAAGCUAUAAUUGCCCAGGGAUCUCUUUGUUCAGGGUCCCUCUUUGGAGGUACCCAACUCGAGCUGUAACCACUGCACGCGUGUCAUUCUGAGCUAACCUAGGGUCGGACCCAACUCGAGUUGUAAUUACUGCACGCGCACCACCAAAACUUACACCCACGGUGAAGAGGACCCACCUACCACCAGACGGGAGCCCCCCCCCCCACUGCCGAGACUCCCAAAGGAAGAGGACCAACAGGACGCCGCUGGAUCCACGGGUCUGCAGACCUUUGACGAAAGAUGUUUUGAAACACCAAUGAGGAUGAGAUAAACAUGAGAUGAGGCUAAACUGUGUUUCCAUGGCCAUCUUGCCUAAAUGGGGUAUCCCAGGGAUCAAUACUGAGUCCAGUAUUAUUUAACUUCUUCAUCAAUGACCUGGAUGAUGGGACCGAAUGCACCCUCAGCAAGUUUGCAAAUGAUACAAAACUGGGAGGAGUGGCUGAGACACCAGAGGGCUGUGCUGCCAUCCAGAGGGACCUAGACAGGCUGGAAAGGUGGGCAGAGAGGAACCUCAUGCAGUUCAACAAAGGGAAGUGCCAAGUCCUUCACCUGGGGAGGAAUAACCCCAUGCACCAGUACAGGCUGGGGGCUGACCUGCUGGAAAGCAGCUCUGCAGAGAAGGACCUAGGGGUCCUGGUGGACACCAAGUUGACCAUGGGCCAGCAACAUGCCCUUGUGGCCAAGAAGGCCAAUGGCAUCCUGGGCUGGAUUAGGCAGACUGUUGCCAGCAGGUGGAGGGAGGUGAUCCUCCCCCUCUCCUCAGCCCUGGUGAGGCCACACCUGGAGUGCUGUGUCCAGUUCUGGGCUCCCCAGUACAAGAGAGACAUGGAGCUACUGGAGCAAGUCCAGUGAAGGGCCACUAAGAUGAUUAAGGGACUGGAGCAUCUCUCCUAUGAGGAGAGGUUGAGAGAGCUGGGCCUGUUCAGCCUGGAGAAGAGAAGACUGAAGGGGGAUCUUAUCAAGGUGUAUUAAUAUCUGAACGGAGGGUGCAAAGAGGAUGUGGCCAGACUCUUCAGUGGUGCCUAGGGACAAGAUGAGAGGCAACGGGCACAAACUGAAACACAGGCAUUUCUGUCUGAAUAUGGGGAAAAGCUUCUUUACUGUGAGGGUGACAGAGCACUGGACCAGGUUGCCCAGAGAGGUUGUGGAGUCUCCAUCCUUGGAGAUAUUCAGAAGCUGUCUGGCCAGGGUCCUGGGCAACGUGCUCUAGGUGACCCUGCUUGAGCAGGGGGGUCAGACUAGAUGAUCUCCAGAGGUCCCUUCCAACCUCAACCCUUCUGUGCUACCCCUUCAGUUCCCUUUUCUGAGCUUAUAAACUCCUGAUUUACCAGAGAGAGGGGAAAUGCUCUUACCCUACUUGAGUGCUCCAGUAGUGCAACAAUGUUGACUUCUUUUUGGGCUUUUUAUUCCAAUUCCUGGAUCUUCACUUCUUCAAAAGUGUCUAGAUCAACAAAUAGGAUAAAGGAGUCUGCUGUUUAUAUGGGUACAGCACAAGCAUUAGUAGUUCUUAGGUAAAAUUGUAUUUUAAGUUGAUAUAUUACAAAAUUCCAGGUGGGCUACUGCAAAAUGAAUAUUUUCUUUAAAAGAUUGAUGGUAGAAUUCUUGAGAUUCCUUGUAAAGUUAUGGGUUGUAAUGACAGCUAUGUAAGAUUUUGCAGAGAAAUGUAUUUGGCUGUUUACUGGUGGCCACCCUUUUGGAUAUUGCUUAGGUGAGGUGUUGCUAUUCAAUGGGAAACACUAAGCAUCAUUAUCCACCUGUUAUCACCUCUUUCUUACUAUGGAAUUUUCCUUUGCUACUUUAGUUUUCUUCCUCCUUAUGUCUCUCCUUUUAUGUUUAUCCUAAUAAGUGUAUGAGUCUGACAAAACAGUUAUGAUAGUUUGAUAUGACCACAUCUCUCUAUGAAGUCUCUUUUGUGCUAUACAGUCUAAUUGUGCUCUAGGCGUAUUAAAUUGUAUUUCUGGUGACAGACCUGCCCAAGAAAGGUGCUGGACACUUCACGUAAAUGUCAUAGAGAUUCAUCAAGAUACCACCCAGGGCUAUAAAUUAUGACCGUCCCUCACCUUCUGGCUCUCCUUGGAACAUGGCUUUAUAUACACAGGAGCAUGCAAGGACAUAACUUAAGAGCUUAUAAACCUUCUAGUUGAACACAAAAGAGAAGUGCUUCUUUGAACAAGAAGGCUUAGACAAUGGCUGGAUUCAAUAAGGUCUACUUGAGAAGAAAGAAAGAAGACAGGAGGGACUCUACUUAAUGGAAAUAUUGACAAAUCUUUGAUUCACAGAAGGGCUGAGGUCUGACUAGGGAAGUGUGGCUCAAAGGGCUUCUGAUAUUUUUCAAGGACCUGUAACUUUAAUAACACAAUAAUUAUGGAUAAGAAAUCCAUUGUUACGCCUAAGUUACUUUCUCAUCUGCUGUGCCAUCCAUGAAAGGAUUAACUGAGAAGCUCACAGAUUAUAGCUUCUAAGACUUUCAGAGGGGAUCAUGUAUAGUGUUAGAGGAAGGGGCCAGAUAUGCAGGAGAUCUGAAUCAAAAUUUCAGGAUUAAAGACAUCUGGGAUAUGGAUUCAUAGAUGCCAAUGAAUGGUAUUAGACAACGCAUCUUAGUCUGGAAUAUAUUUAGUUGAUCUGCUAAAAACACUGUCCAGUUCUGACACAGGUUUAGUUGGCUCACAAAGUUGAGAUAAAGUCUUGGUCCACCUAACACAGACUAAUGACUGUUAAAAAUAAUAUUUGGCACGUAUGUAAGAAGAUUUACUUUUUCCAACAUCCCUGUGAACUAGUAACCAGAAAUGUAGUUAAAAACAAAGUUUAAACAGCCUGCCAUUGAUAAAAGCUAGCCAAGUUUUGAGUGAUGGAUGAGAUCAUUUGCCAAGCCCGUGUUUCUCCAGCAGCCAGGCUGCAAACAAAGCUAGUGUUAGAAACCAAAAUUUUAUUUUCUCUCUGAUUUUCUUUUCCUGUAGAGUGAACUUUUCUUGUUUCAUCUUGAAGAUAACAUAAUCAUACUUUAAUAACAUUAACAAUAACAGCCUCCCCCCCCCCCCGGACAUUUAAUGCACCUUUCAUACCAUUUAUUAUUGUGAAAGGUUCAGACAGAAGUUUUCUUUAUUAAGAAAAUAUCUGAGUAUAGCAGAAGUAAGGGAAAGGUUAUAAAGAAAAUAAUUAUAUUUAAAUUAUUAAUACUUUAAAAUAUUUGAACUAUUCUUUCUUUUUUUCUGUUAAAAUAUUUUUAAUGGUCAUUUGUACAAUUAGAAUCACCCAGAUAAUCUAACAGAAAACCUUGCACUGCAUUUAACUAUUUCAUGCUCUAACAGUGAACAAAGGCUUCAUUAACAUCUUUUCUAUUGUCGGGUUCGCUUCUUUACAACAGCAUAGUAAAGCAGCAUAGAGGGUGCUGAAGCAUAGUCUGGUGGUUGAAGGAGCAUCACAGCUGGAGUCUCUGCAGAGAUCUGCAGCUGAACACAGAGGAUGAGCUCUGACUUGCAGUGUGAGCACAGCUAAGUCCUAGGCUGCUUCAUAUAUGAGGGAGGCUGGGUGGGCGGAAGGUGGUUGGCCCUUAGUUGGAGAUGAGGGAGACUGCGGCAGUCUGGGUGCUGCUGGGUGGAGGGAGCUGGAGGUUGUUUUUGUGAGGCUGAAGCUGGGUGCAGGUGAUGUGUGUGCUGAGCAGUGGGAAUUUGUGUGAUGUGCCAAGCAAUUAGGUAUCUUGGACUACAAAUGUUCAUAAUGUGUACCUGCAUACAUACCUGAUGUCUAUAUGUAUAAACAUGUGAUGGGGGGGGGGUGUUAAAAAAAACAGCCAGACUCCUCUAAGUGGUAUCCAGUGACAGGACAAUAGGUAAUGGUCACAAAUUGUAAUACAAUAAAUUUCAUUUAAACAUAAGAAAAAACUUGUUUACUGUAAGGGCGAUCAAACACUGGAACAGGUUGUCCAGAGAGGUUGUGGCGUCUCCAUCCAUGGAGAUAUGGAAAACCCAACUGGACAUGGUUCUGGGCAACCUGCUCUUGCUGACCCUGCUUUGAGCAGGGAGGUUGGAACAGAUGAUCUCCAAAGGUCCCUUCCAACCCCAGUCAUUCUGUGAACAAUACAACAGAUUAUGCCAUAGGGACAACUGGCCUUUGAUGCAUCUUACCAAGAGGAACUGUAUGCAUGGAUUUGUCCUUAAAUAACUUCCUAUGGUGGCACUUAAAAGAAAAGUUGACUACAAUAUUCAUUGAUAGACUGGACCUACUUAUUUGUUCCAGAGAAACUGUAGGCAAUGCGGUUUUUGAAUCAUAUAAAGCAUUUAGGUAGGGAAGGCAGAGAGAUGAAAUAAAUUAACUUAGGGGGAAAAAAAGAUAUUUUCACAUGUAUAUAAAUACAAAACAAAGGUUUAAACAGUAAGCUUUAUUGAACAUUAAUUCCUUAGAGAACAAAAACAAAGCAUGUGACAUCCACAUAUAUGCUUAUAAACACUUCUAUAAAAUUGAGACUGACGUUUUGGAAUUAGGACCUCAGAAUCAUACUUAUAGUUCACCAGCAUUUUAUUGUUCUAUGACUGUGUCAGCCAGUUCAAGUAACCUAUAAUGAAAUUCAUCAAACAAGGUAAUUCGAAAAUAUAGAAAGUCUAAGUAUUCUUUUAUUCAUCUUUCCUUAUUGUCAGCUGAGAUCUUAUUCUCUCAUUGUUGGUGCUAGUCAAUAAUUUUGGUGAAUAUUGAUACAAAAACAGUAUUUAAUAUUUUGGCUUUCUUGGCAUAAUCUGUUGAUCAUUUUCCCCCUCUGCUGAGCAACGGACCAAUGCUUUUUGUAGUCUUCCUAUUACAGUGUACUAACAAUAGGACAUAGUUUCUUUUCAUCCUCAGCUAGCUGCUGCUGAGACCUCUAUAACAUGAGAACCUUUUAAUACAGAAGAGCUUUAGCAGCACCCAUCUUGAAUAAAUACCUGUAAAUGCUGUAAAGCAUCUCAUUGUUCUUUUUAAGAAUAUAAGAGACUAGAUUAUGUCCCACUUCUCCAAACAGCUCAAGUAUAAAACCCUAUUGACUUAGUUUCAGUAUCAAGGUUUUAAGAGAAUAAACUUUAUAUCACUUAUUUGUACUUGAUCUAUAAUCAAAAAUUGGUUUUGCACCAUUUUUAUUAGAAGACAACAAUAAGAGUUGAAUUGAUCCUCUCUAAUUUAGGUCUCUCAAAAUCAGAUGUCUUAAAUCUGAGCUAGUCACCAUAGUUUCUUUUUGGUCAAUAAAGAGACAGUGAUUCAGCUCAUCCUGAAAUAGGUGGGAAGAAUUAACCUUAGAAGGUACUCACAUCUUUACAUUGCCUUUAAAGGGAGUCUUACUCAGAUUAUAUGUCUAAGUUUUAGAUGUCUAAAAUUAGAUGAGCUUGUUCCCACCUUAUAUGCCUUCCUUUCUUUUGUUAGUAUUAGUGAAGCUGCAAGAAUUGAGGGAGGGGGCUGAUUUACCUAAUAUAUAUACUUUUCUUGUUCAUCCUGUUGGCAACGCAAGUCAGAUUCAUUUUUGUGCACAAGAAAUAUUCUACCUCAAAGUGAACUGGAAGAAAAAAAUGGAGGAGGGGAAUUCUCUUAUGUUGUUUUUUACUUGCGUGCUUAACCAUGUAAGCAAACAAGUUACACAUCUGUUUUCACUGCCAUCUUUAAAAGGGGGAUAAUUAUGAGCAUCAUUUACCUUUUAAAUACUUUGUUCUUUUUGUAAGUAGAAAUUAUUUUCUUUUUAAUCAAUUGCAGUUAGCAUUUUUCCAGACAUUCACACAGUACUGAUGAUUAAGAUACCAGAAUGGUUCCUAUUGUAUUAAUCAGUUCUUUAUUUUUAUUAUUGAAACUGGAAGUAAUGGAGCUAGGUUCAGAAACAUUUUAAGCAAGUACUCUCUCAAGUUUGUUCCUUAAUUUUUCAUUUAUAGCCUUUAUCUCCAUAUAGUUAGGAUGAUUUUUUUUAAGACAUGUUUUUCAUUAUGUCAACCACUACUCCCCCCCUCCCCCCAUUCAGUAUCUUCCACAGAUUGAAUUAACUUUUCUUUGCUCUAACACUUAAUAGUUGCAUCACAGAGCAGUAAGGGCCAGCUGUUGCCUAAGGGAGGGGGAGCCCAGCAUGAUACCAAGGCCAGCAGGGCAGGGACCUGGCCAGCCAGGCCCCAGCCCUACAGUACCCAAGCAAGGCAAGUAGGACAGGCCCAGGGAUGGCAGCCAGGGUCAACCAAGAGUCCAGGUCAUCAGGCAAGUUUGAGACAAUGAGGCAGACCCAAGGUCAAGCCAGAAAGUCAAUCCACAGGUCAGGAUCAGAUCUGGUGACAGUAACCAGGGUCAGCCACAAUCCAGUGAUUGUCAGGCAGGUCCAUAAUGACAAGACAGGUCUGAGGUCAAGCUGGCAAGUCAGUCCACAGGUCAGGAUCUAUGGCACAGGCACAUCUAGAGCCCAGUACUCCUACAACAUAGCUCAGGCAAGGAUGUGUGGCCCAAGCCUGAGCUUAAAUGGGGCUCCUGGGCCCAUGGGCAGAUGGUGUGGGUGGAGGCUCCAGGUGAGGCUGGUCAGGGCCAUUAAGGCCUAUUGGUACACUCAGGGCCCUGACAAGUUGAUAUUCAUUUUAAGCACCUAUUCCAAACUUUGGUCCCCUUUCAACCUUCCUGAAAGGAUUCAUUAACACAAAAUUCAACAGACUUUCAGAAGAGGGAUUACUUACUUGUAUCUGAUUUUCUUGGGGCUGUGUGAUCUAUGCAAACAUUCACACUGUGGCAAUCAGUAGCAGAAGAAUUUUUUACCCUCACAGUGCACAUACAGUGCUCCCUGAGGCACUCACCUUGCCUUCAUGCAUAGUCCCCAAAACCAGGAAAAGUGCACUCCUCCCUCCCCCUUGCUCUCAAUCACUGAAUUCUUGGAAUCAGAUCAGGGAUUCUGAAAGAAAGAAGAAUGUGACUUGUGAAUGCACGUAAAGAAAACACAUCACAUAGAUGCCAGCACUUGAUGAUGCAGGUAAGGAUAGUAAGAAGACUUUUUAUUAAUGAAUUUAAGAACUCUUAAAGAAUGAAAGGCUGCUUACAAGUCUUAGGCAUUGUGGAGCUCCUCCUCCAUGCAAGAAUAAAACAAUUGAGAAUUUCUGAGAUUCCUGACUCAUGCUUGUAAUCCAUUGGGAAGCCAAAGGGCUAUAACUAAAAACUGCUCAAGUACUGCAGCUGUAGUAAGCUACAGGUAAAUGUAUUAGUAGAGUCAAGGGAUGCAUAGGGAAGAGUUCUCACUGGUUUGAGCAAUGCCUUAUCUGUAUGAAAUUCCUUUGGUAAAAUCCUGAAAAGCCAGAGGGUCAAAUUGUUACCCAAAGGAGUUGCUAGUCAGAUACAAGCUACAUCCAACUUAGUUUUAUUGAGAGUAGCUGAUCAAAAUAGAGGGGAGAAACGUGCAGAAUUCAGGAGGAAAAUGCUCAGAGACACACGUGUAAAUGCACACACACACACACAGUCAUGCUUAUACCAGUCCUGGGUGCUCAGCUGGCUGGACCAAAGGAUAUUCAGAGAGCUGUCGGGGUUCCUGAAGGAGACUAUGUCCUACAGCUUUGAUUCAGCAUGUGUAGCAAGACAAAUCCUGUGGCUGCUCCUGGCCUCUGCCCUUUUAUAGUUUCCAGGUCACCAGGCUGAGUCCCUGCUGGA